UAGAUUGGAGCUCGUUGAAGGGCGUUUAAUUGUUAAUUAAAAGGUAAUGGGGUAGAAACCCAUCAGUCUAA
rnacentral:tRNA from 1 species